rnacentral:rRNA from 1 species
AUUGAACGCUGGCGGAAUGCUUUACACAUGCAAGUCGAACGGCAGCACGGACUUCGGUCUGGUGGCGAGUGGCGAACGGGUGAGUAACAUAUCGGAACGUAUCCAAUAAUGGGGGAUAACUAAUCGAAAGGUUGGCUAAUACCGCAUACGCCCUACGGGGGAAAGCAGGGGAUCUUCGGACCUUGCGUUAAUGGAGCGGCUGAUAUCUGAUUAGCUAGUUGGUGAGGUAAAGGCUCACCAAGGCGACGAUGAGUAGCUGGUCUGAGAUGACGACCAGCCACACUGGAACUGAGUCACGGGCCAGACUCCUACGGGAGGCAGCAGUGGGGAAUUUUGGACAAUGGGCGCAAGCCUGAUCCAGCCAUUCCGCGUGAGUGAAGAAGGCCUUCGGGUUGUAAAGCUCUUUCGCAAGGGAAGAAAACUUACUUUCUAAUAAAGAGUGAGGUUGACGGUACCUUGAUAAGAAGCACCGGCUAACUACGUGCCAGCCGCCGCAGUAA